rnacentral:rRNA from 1 species
UACGGAGGGUGCAAGCGUUAUCCGGAUUUACUGGGUUUAAAGGGUGCGUAGGCGGGCUUUUAAGUCAGCGGUGAAAGCUUCGGGCUCAACUCGAAAAAUUGCCGUUGAUACUAUUAGUCUUGAAUUAAGUUGAGGUGGGCGGAAUAUGUCAUGUAGCGGUGAAAUGCUUAGAUAUGACAUAGAACACCGAUUGCGAAGGCAGCUCGCUAAACUUAUAUUGACGCUGAGGCACGAAAGCGUGGGGGAUCAAACAGG